GUCUCCAAAAAAUGUAAAUGCCGAGGAAGAUCUCCCCUCAGAGACCUGAAAAUUUUAUCUGCAACCCACAGGGGUGGAUGUGUUUUCCGGGCCUGAGGGCCCCUGCCGACAAGAGUUCCAUUGUUGGCUGUUGGAAAACACACAGCCCUGCCCCUUCCACCCCACCCCCUUCCAGGAAGGGAACCGGCUUUCAGAAUUAGUCACGCUGCCAGCAUCCCACACAACAACCCCAUUGAAUCCAAAGGGCAGUCCUGCAGGGAGUGUUACGGAGAGAGUACGACAAACCCAGAUACCCUUCGUGGAGAUCCACUAAGUCUUAAUAAAUAUUUUGCCUCAUCUGCUUUCACUCCGUAUGUCGGUACCCUAGUUGUUGUUUGUUUUCUGCGUCUCCUGCAUCUCAGACCUCUUCUCCCGUUCUCCCGCCCCCGCUGGAGCAGGCUGGCUUCUGAAAGACUCCUCAACGCCUUUCCAGGGGGAAGCCACAAAGCACAACCAAGCUCUUCUUUGCUUUUGCCUUUUCUCCUCACCCUGGGCAGAUUCGGGAUGACAGGUCAGGGGUCCUUCCUGCAUGAACCACGCCUGAUCCAUCCUGGGCUGCCUCUGUCCAGGGUCUGUGCUGUAAUGGUGGCCCCGAAGGCGGAAGCAGGUCUGAGAUGGGAGGUGGGCCUCCCUCUCCUACAUACUUUCCCGUGAAGCCUCAAACCAGGGGGAUAUGGGGCCUGGGUCACCCCGGAGAGAUGGACCGGCCCCUGCAGCCCCGGCUGCCAAGUGGGAAUGCGGGCCCAGUUAGGCCAUGUCUUCCACGAGAAGCUGGAAAUGCAGCUUAUUGUGUUGGAAACAUCCGGAUCUUUAAAUGUCGGCAACUGUUAGUUUUUGCAACACUUUGGGAACCAAAGGAAACAUGUACAACCGUUGGGCUUGGGCCCCCCUGAACAUCAAAAGCAAAUGGCAAAACCAAAAUUAAUAAAGCUGCUUACCACCCCGUG